UUAAACAAGAGUACAUUGCCAUGCCCCACAAAAAUUACCAGAACUAAACAAGUACCAGCUACCCUAAUUUCAGAAACAACCGGAUUCUGCAAAAAUGAAUAUUAGAAAAAAUACAGGACCAAGCAAUUAAUAAUAGAUUCUGAUCUUUAAACACUGGACAUAAAUUAUCCGGGGUGAAACAAAAAUGUACGCCAACCCAUCAUGUAGCCACCUGACCAAAAAGCCUCUUUCGGAUCUCAGGAAGCUUUUUACGGAACACGACAUCCAACCGUGCAUCAAGGGUAUUCUCA
rnacentral:misc_RNA from 1 species